rnacentral:misc_RNA from 1 species
AAGUCGUAACAAGGUCUCCGUUGGUGAACCAGCGGAGGGAUCAUUACAGAGUUGAAAAACUCCCUAAACCCUUUGAAAAUCUACCUUUUUCGUUGCUUCGGCGGGCAGCCCCAGGGCGGGGCCGUGGCCUCUUUGAGAGGUUGUCCGCCAAAGGUUAACUAAACUCUUGUUGUUAAACUGUUAUCUGAGCUUAAAAGACAAUUGUUAAAACUUUCAACAACGGAUCUCUUGGUUCUG